GAUGAACGCUGGCGGCGUGCCUAACACAUGCAAGUCGAGCGAACAGACGAGGCUCUUGCUCCUCUGACGUUAGCGGCGGACGGGUGAGUAACACGUGUAUAACCUACCUAUAAGACUGAGAUAACUUCGGGAAACCGGAUCUAAUACCGGAUAAUAUAUUGAACCUCAUGGUUCAUUGGUCAAAGCCGGCUUUGCUGUCACUUAUAGAUGUAUCCGCGCCGAAUUAGCUAGUUGGUACGGUAACGGGCUACCAAGGCGACGAUGCGUAGCCGACCUGAGAGGGUGAUAGGCCACGCUGGAACUGAGACACGGUCCAGACUCCUACGGGAGGCAGCAGUAGGGAAUCUUACGCAAUGGGCGAAAGCUUGACGGAGCAACGCCGCGUGAGUGAUGAAGGUCUUCGGAUCGUAAAGCUCUGUUAGUAGGGAAGAACAAAUGUGUAAGUAACUAUUGACGUCUUGACGGUACCUAAUGAGAAAGCAACGGCUAACUACGUG
rnacentral:rRNA from 1 species